rnacentral:rRNA from 1 species
GACGAACGCUGGCGGCGUGCCUAAUACAUGCAAGUCGAACGAGAGCAACCGGUGCUUGCACUGGUCAAUCUAGUGGCGAACGGGUGAGUAACACGUGGGUAACCUGCCCAUCAGAGGGGGAUAACAUCCGGAAACGGAUGCUAAAACCGCAUAGGUCUUCGAACCGCAUGGUUUGAAGAGGAAAAGAGGCGCAAGCUUCUGCUGAUGGAUGGACCCGCGGUGCAUUAGCUAGUUGGUGAGGUAACGGCUCACCAAGGCCGUGAUGCAUAGCCGACCUGAGAGGGUGAUCGGCCACAUUGGGACUGGGACACGGCCCAAACUCCUACGGGAGGCAGCAGUAGGGAAUCUUCCGCAAUGGACGCAAGUCUGACGGAGCAACGCCGCGUGAGUGAAGAAGGUUUUCGGAUCGUAAAACUCUGUUGUUAGAGAAGAACAAGUGCUAGAGUAACUGUUAGCGCCUUGGCGGUAUCUAACCAGAAAGCCACGGCUAACUACGUG